rnacentral:rRNA from 1 species
GACGAACGCUGGCGGCGUGCUUAACACAUGCAAGUCGAACGGAAAGGCCCUGCUUUUGUGGGGUGCUCGAGGGGCGAACGGGUGAGUAACACGUGAGUAACCUGCCCUUGACUUUGGGAUAACGUCAGGAAACUGGGGCUAAUACCGGAUAGGAGCUCCUGCUGCAGGGUGGGGGUUGGAAAGUUUCGGCGGUUGGGGAUGGACUCGCGGCUUAUCAGCUUGUUGGGGGGGUAGUGGCUUACCAAGGCUUUGACGGGUAGCCGGCCUGGGAGGGUGACCGGCCACAUUGGGACUGCGAUACGGCCCAGACUCCUACGGGAGGCAGCAGUGGGGAAUAUUGCACAAUGGGCGGAAGCCUGAUGCAGCAACGCCGCGUGCGGGAUGACGGCCUUCGGGUUGUAAACCGCUUUCGCCUGUGACGAAGCGUGAGUGACGGUAAUGGGUAAAGAAGCACCGGCUAACUACGUG